CUUUUGUUUGUGUUUAGAAAACGAGGAAGAAGGUUUGCAUGAACUAGCUGUGACAAGCUUUCUGGCGACGAAAAUAAUUAUGUGCGUGAAGGCAAUUAUUGGCGUGAGGAGAAUAAUUGCGGGCGUGAGGGUAAUUAUUGUGGAGCAUGGUUAUUGAUUGGUUGUUCACCUGUCCACAAGACCAUUCCACUUGAAGCUGACAACCUUUACCAGAAUACUGAUGACUGCAAAGUUUGGAAGACUAACAACCAUUUACCAGAAGAAAUUUUCGGGAUGCAAAUAAUCAUUGGAGGUCAAUCGACGAAACCUCGUAGUCAGGACGAGGGGAAAGUGAUGCCUCUUAACUCCAUUACCUCGUCGCCAACAUACUGCCUCCAGCAAUGUGGAGGUCGUAUAGAUCACAUGAAUAAAAAAUAUAUACUAUUCGCGUAAAAAUUAUCAGCCUUUUCUUGCCAAUUUAGUUUGAUUUGCUUUGGAAACUUUGCCUCAAUUGUCGUGUUCCUGUCAAAGAAAUUUCCUGUGUCAUAAUUUUGCAAAAACUAUUCACAUAGGGUAUAAAGAGACGCAGUCAACUCUCUCAAGUAAAUCGAGCUGCUCCACUUGGUUGUGGUGACGGCAGUGGUGCGAAAAAACACCGGCACGACUCUCACUACUUUCUUUAUCACAACAACGUUCUGCUUCUCUCUCGCAGUCUCUCAGCUUGUUCAUCGUUUUAGAGAUUAAUUUUCACGCCGUGUCUUCAAAAUAUUUUUAAAACACUGGUAAGAAUGUUCAAAUGGGGUGCAUAGUGUCCCCCUCCUCUGGAACUGGUAACUAUAUACAACAAAACAAAGUUUAACAAUUUAUAUCAAAAAAACCCUCAAUUUAUUUUGUAUUGAUUAAUAAACGAGCCAGUGGACGACCUAAUCAUGUAUAUUUGUUUGUCCCGGUCUACCUCGCAACGGAGGAGCAAUUAAAACAGGGGAUUAUUUCUUUCACAACAAAUAUGGCCGAAAGAAAUGGUGAUCACAAAAUAUCCCGACUGAUCAAAAUCGUCCCCCCAAGGAUUUUCUUGAUAAAUCCUAUUUUCGGGACUUAGACGGCAUAACGUUUACACCCAAGAGGCAAGUUUUGACUAGGGUACAGGAGAAAGUUUACGAGCUUCACCAAGAAGAGCACAAUCCUAUGAGCCCCAAGGAGUUCAAAAAUCUUUCACUUAAACUGAAUCCAAAUCUUCCAGCAAAUCCUGUGGAAUUCGAACAGCAAGUCUUCAGUGAUGAUGACAUGUCUUUUUGCAAUGCCUUGUACGCCAAUGAUAUCCCCCAGACGUGUUUUAGCAAAAAAUCCCACCCUUGGAAUCUACGAAAUUUAAGAUCAAAUUUGGAGUUGUGUCACACCCAGUUCAAUAAUUCCCCAGUGGAAGAUGUCACAAGAUCUUUCGUAUAUUUUGGUUCACCAAAAUCCAAAUUUAUACUGCACAUUGAAAAUUCGAAUACCUACUCCAUAAAUUAUCUGCAAAGCGGAGCUGGAAAAGUGUGGUUUACCAUCCAUCCAGACGACACGGGAAAACUCUUGGACGCUUUGCGGGACCUGUACCCCGAUCAAAUGAAGAACUGCCCCACGUUCUACCGACACAAAACAAUAUUUUUUAGUCCAGCGUUAUUUUAGAAAUAUGGCAUUCGUUUUGGCAUAAGUGGUUCAAAAUGUGGGGGACUUUAUUAUAACCUUUCCCGGGGGUUGGCACUUGGGUUACAACCUGGGGAUAAAUUUAGCAGAGGCCCUCAACUUUGGAACGGAACGGUGGCUGCGAGAAGAUGGGCUGCAUGCGAAAUAUUGUCACCAAACAUGCCCUUACAGAAAACAAGAUUUUAUCAUAAACGUUCAAAAGUUGGGAGACGAUAUUGACCGGAAAAAGCGAGCAGAAAAACAAGAUGAUCCUGAAGUGCUCUUCAAGUUGAAAGAGGCUUCACCCCCACGUAAAAGUAGAACACUUGAAGAGAGACGUGAAGCACGCUGAAAUAUGGCAUGUUUGUUGUAAAGGUUCUGCCCAAAUCUUGAUAACGUAUGAUUCUCAGCCUUUUAAGGCAAACCCUGUUACAUCAAUGUUUUGUAACUAGUUUUAUAAUAAUUACAUCGCCCAAUACUAAUUCUUGUAGGUACAGUUAUUUACAUAAUUUGGAGUCGUUAUUUCGAAAAAUUUCGUAACAUUUACAGAUAGCUAACAUUUGGUGUAGACGUUGUGUACGACUCCACAAUAUGAAUCUAAGUCGGCUUAAGUCGUUGUAGUGUAUUUUUAUCCAUUUAACUCCCACAUUUGUGAACAAAAAUAAGUAACAAUUUAGUAAUAAAGUAGUGAAAUCAAAUCGCCAUUUGUUUGUAAACUCAACAAAACUAUGUACUACAUGUCUGGUUACGCAUAUAUCUUUCAUUAUUGUGCUGACAGAAUAAUAUUAACGUGGAUAUGAUUCAAGUUACAUGUACAAUUUAACAAUUAAUAAAGAAAACCUGUUUAUUAUUCGAAUG